rnacentral:rRNA from 1 species
GACGAACGCUGGCGGCGCGCUUAACACAUGCAAGUCGAGCGAGAACCAGGGCUUCGGCCCUGGGGACAGCGGCGAACGGGUGAGUAACACGUGGGUAAUCCACCCUCGGCACCGGAAUAGCCCGGGGAAACCCGGAUUAAUGCCGGAUGGCCCGCCGGCCCCGAGGGGCUGGCGGAAAAGGUAGCUUCGGCCUCCGGCCGGGGACGAGCCCGCGACGGAUUAGCUUGUUGGUGGGGUAACGGCCUACCAAGGCUGCGAUCCGUAGCUGGUCUGAGAGGACGAUCAGCCACAGUGGGACGGAGACACGGCCCAGACUCCUACGGGAGGCAGCAGUGGGGAAUCUUGCGCAAUGGGCGAAAGCCUGACGCAGCGACGCCGCGUGGGGGAAGAAGGCCUUCGGGUUGUAAACCUCUUUCAGGAGGGACGAAGCCACUCGGGUUAAUAGCCCAGAGGGUGACGGUACCUCCAGAAGAAGCCCCGGCUAACUACGUGCCAGCCGCCGCGGUAAUAC